UACGGAGGAUGCAAGCGUUAUCCGGAAUUAUUGGGCGUAAAGCGCGUGUAGGCGGCUCGGUAAGUCUGCUGUGAAAGUCCAAGGCUCAACCUUGGAAAGCCGGUGGAUACUGUCGAGCUCGAGUCCGGAAGAGGCGAGUGGAAUUCCUGGUGUAGCGGUGAAAUGCGCAGAUAUCAGGAGGAACACCAAUGGCGAAGGCAGCUCGCUGGGACGGUACUGACGCUGAGACGCGAAAGCGUGGGGAGCAAACAGG
rnacentral:rRNA from 1 species